ACCUUGGUUUAGGAGCAAAGCCAAACUAUUUCAUUUGGAAUCUGAUGAAAAGACAGAAAUGGUUCCUGGGAUUUUGAACUUUCCUCUCUUACUCCAACCUACAAGAUAGGCAACUCCGGAGGAGUUUAUGUCCAUGCUGCAGGUAUAAAGGAUGAAGUUGUAGGGCAGGAAUUCUUAUGACACUUGGAGCAGCUACUCAAUGGAAAUCACAAACAGAAUGAGUUUCAUCCACAUGUCAAGACACUACUACCAACAGAGCUAUUUCAGGACACCUUCCUAAAUAACUAGCUGUCUCUUCCACUUAAAGCAAGGAGAGUCUUCUCUUAUCUUCAAGAAGAAUAAAAAAUGAAGCUGACAUUACUUGGAAAGAGAAUAAACAAAAUCUGUCAUGAGGACUACAGGGAUGAAUGACACAAACCAGCC